rnacentral:rRNA from 1 species
AUUGAACGCUGGCGGCAGGCUUAACACAUGCAAGUCGAGCGAGAGGCGGACGGGUGAGUAAUGUCUGGGAAACUGCCUGAGGGAGGGGGAUAACUACUGGAAACGGUAGCUAAUAACGCAUACAAUAAGAUGUGCCCAGAGGGGUUUAGCUAGUAGGGGGGGUAAAGGGUCACCUAGGCGAAGAUCCCUAGCGGGUCUGAGAGGCGGAACAGCCAAACUGGGACGUAGACACGGCCCAGACUCCUACGGGAGGCAGCAGUGGGGAAUAUUGCACAAUGGGCGCAAGCCUGAUGCAGCCAUGCCGCGUGUAUGAAGAAGGCCUUAGGGUUGUAAAGUACUUUCAGCGUGGAGGCGUUACCCGCAGAAGAAGCACCGGCUAACUCCGUGCCAGCAGCCGCGGUAAUAC